rnacentral:rRNA from 1 species
UUUCGCAAUGCCCGAAAGGGUGACGAAGCGACGCCGCGUGCGGGAAGAAGGCCUUCGGGUUGCAAACCGCUGUCGGGAGUUAAGAAAUGCAAGGGUGUUAACAGCGUCCUUGCUUGACUAAGGCCCCGGAGGAAGCCACGGCUAACUCUGUGCCAGCAGCCGCGGUAAUACAGAGGCGGCAAGCGUUGUUCGGAAUUAUUGGGCGUAAAGAGCACGUAGGCGGCUGUGUAAGUCGGUUGUGAAAGCCUUCCGCUCAACGGAAGAAUGGCAUCCGAUACUGCAUAGCUCGAGUGCGGGAGGGGAGAGUGGAACUUCUGGUGGAGCGGUGAAAUGCGUAGAUAUCAGAAGGAACACCGGCGGCGAAGGCGGCUCUCUGGUCCGUAACUGACGCUGAGUGUGCGAAAGCUAGGGGAGCAAACGGGAUUAGAUACCCCGGUAGUCCUAGCCGUAAACGAUGGGCACUAAGUAGAGGGGUUUU